rnacentral:rRNA from 1 species
UACGUAGGGUCCAAGCGUUGUCCGGAUUUAUUGGGCGUAAAGAGCUCGUAGGCGGUUCGGUAAGUCGGAUGUGAAAACUCGGGGCUCAACCCCGAGACGCCAUCCGAUACUGCUGUGACUUGAGUCUGGUAGGGGAACACGGAAUUCCUGGUGUAGCGGUGAAAUGCGCAGAUAUCAGGAGGAACACCGAUGGCGAAGGCAGUGUUCUGGGCCAGUACUGACGCUGAGGAGCGAAAGCGUGGGUAGCAAACAGG